UAGGGCGCGAGCGUUGUCCGGAAUUAUUGGGCGUAAAGAGCUUGUAGGCGGUUUGUCGCGUCUGCUGUGAAAGCCCGGGGCUUAACCCCGGGUUUGCAGUGGGUACGGGCUAACUAGAGUGCAGUAGGGGAGACUGGAAUUCCUGGUGUAGCGGUGGAAUGCGCAGAUAUCAGGAGGAACACCGAUGGCGAAGGCAGGUCUCUGGGCUGUAACUGACGCUGAGAAGCGAAAGCAUGGGGAGCAAA
rnacentral:rRNA from 1 species